AACAGAACAACAGCAAAGAAGAACAACAAAAAUAACAGUGGUGUUCACUUUGGAUGUGAUCGGUGAACAGAGGGAGAGCUUGUUCCAGCAGACGGGCCCCAUCCGCUCCUCCCGUCCGAGGGCUGGGAAGAAGGGAUGGAGGCGAAGGGAACUCUCCCACCCCUCCGGGGCCCCGCGGGCGCGCUGCUUCCCAGAAAAUACGGUAAAAAGCCUUCAGCCUAAAAAUAACUGCAGCCCGUGGCUGCCCAAGGCUGAGGAACCAGCCCCUCGGGGCUCACUUAGAGAUGUCAACGUGUGGCCAUUGGCCGGUCUCUCUGAUGGGCAGAAGUCAUCUGGCGAGGUGCUGAUCCUCCUAUAGUGUUUGCAAGAUCUUUAAGAAGAAUUGCAUGGCCGAUGUCGUUGCGUUUGAGUUGUGCUAGAAUACCCUGACCAUCAGAGGACUUGGAUUUUAUGACAGAAGAGAUCAGCACUGCAAAGACAUGGCGAUGUUGUUCACAUUGCCUGGACCUGAGCCCAGGGUCCGGGACCAGACCUGUCUCAUACCCACACCUUAGAAGACAGCGCCGUGUUCGUGUUUUCUUUUUGCAGGCUGAAAGCUUUCCUGGACCUGCUGAACACUUCUGCUGUAAUCUGUCGUGGCUGUCAGGGUGCCAAGAGACAUGCCAGACCCUGGGCCACAAUAGUGGAACAGACAUGCCCAGAGCUGAAAGCUGGCACAAGGUAGUGUAUAAAGUGAGAUAUGUGAAGCCACGGGCAAAUAGUUUGGUAAUCACGUGGGUCAGUUAGGCUUGGCACAGGGCAGAGCCUGUCUGCUCAUCAAGGAAGGCAGAGACAAAACUUCGUCAUAGAAUCAUAGAAUAUUUGAAUUAUUGAAUCAUUGAAUGGCUUGGGUUAGAAGGGACCUUACAGCCCACCCAGCUCCAACCCCAGUGCCAUGGGCACAGUUGCCACUCACUGCAUCAGGUUGCCCAGUGCCCCACACAACCUGGUCUUGAGAAGAGUUGGGGGACUUCUUAAUGAGAGCUACGAGGAUUAAACAAAAACAAUUACUCCAGAAGGACUGAGGUAAAGGACACAGUGUUGUCUCAGUGGGGUCGCAAACACAUUUCAAAACAGAUUUUUGCAGAAAGAGAUGUUUCCCAUUCCCCAGAUAUCUUGUUCCCAACAACGAUUCUCGUUUCACAGUAAGGUUCAGGGUUGGAGGAAGGAGCAUGAGCCUUGCUCAGCAUUGGUGCAGGGGAUGCUCCACGUGUCUCCUCACCUAGAAAGCUAAACCUCAAAGAAUAGAAGAGCACAAUUCACUCCUCGCAGAUGGGGAAAUGGUGCAGUGAGUCAGCAAGGCAGACCACAGAUGCUGUCCAAAAGCAUUGCAGCAAUUAGUUGGAGCAAGGUGGAGAUAUAUUCCUCCAAAAUGAAAGUCUCUGUAGGCUGUUACCAGUGCUCACAGCCAUCUAGUCCCUUGCUGAACAUUUCUGACCAAAAUCCUUCCAAGCUGAUCUAUUUUCAGCCCAACCCACUCGAUACCUUGAUUGCUACGCAGCUCUUUUAGCUGCUCUUAGGUAAACAUGUUGUCAUUCCCUGGCAUUUUGCCUCGCUAAGACCAAAAAUAUGAGUGGCACAGAAAAUAAGAAAAGCUGUUCUCCUCCGCCAGGAAAAAUGAUGCUAUUUCUGAAAUAAACUGUUUUUAAUACACCUCACCAGCCAUGUGCAUAUACACACAUGUAUAAAUAUACUUGACCCGGAGGUCCAGUUCCAGUGUUGGCAUCUUGUAUGCCUAUAUGGAGACAGAACAGAGAGGGAAUUAUGUAUGUACAAACCAGGACACACCUUCGGUCCAGUCUACAUCUGAAUGCAGAACGUUGGUUAAGACAAAAUACUGAGGUCUGAUCCCCAUUAAAACAGGUUCACAGGGACUGGUCCAAACUGAGACCAGAGAGUUAUGGGCUGUCAUGAGGAGCAGCUUCUACCAUAGCGACCCAUGUGCCCCAUACCUAAAACCAGCAUCCCCAGGGUUGAACCAGAGCAGGCUGGAGCAGAUCAGUGUCAGAGCUCUAUCCACAGCAGGCCUUGUUUUUGAGGAAUGACAGUGAUGUUGGCCAGACCUCCAAGCCUCUUUUUUUUUCAGAUUUCUCUUUAUCGAGUAAACACAUAGAAGUCAACAACAGAUGGAGCAUCACAUGGAGUUACGCAGGUCAGCAAAGGCUUCGGAGACCCCGUGAGUUUGAGGAGGCAAUAAAUUGGCAGGAGAUGUGGAUGGGAAAUUAUUCUGAGGGACGGAGGAAAAAAAUAGUGGGUUGAUCUGUCGCCCCUGUGACAUGCUCAGGUUUUGUGGAGGAAGACAAAGGUGGGCAGAUAACAAAAGCUCCUGGGUAGGAAGGCUUUUGGGUUCCUCUUUGGCUGCAAAUUGUGAAAUUCAAGCAGAAAGGUAACAAACUGGUAACAAAACGGGCAGGAGUAAAGCAAAGCGAGUGCAAAACAAAAGCAGAUUUUGUGUGACAGGAGCAGAUUGAACUGAUGUGACAAAGGAGGAGGAGAGCUUUUUCAGUAGCUUGUAUAGUGCUGCGGGGAGCUGGGAGUGACAAAUGAGGAAUUUGCACAAGUGGAGAGCAACAGCGUAGGGCUGUGUGUUGAGGAAGAAAGAAAGGAGAAAAGGGAGCAAAGGACACCUAUUAAUAAAAAGAAACCUACAUUCCAUUUAAGAUUUAUUGCUAGCUCAGAGCCAGAGAAUCUUUCAUGCCUUCGCAUCUCUGAGCUAACAUUACCCAAGAGUGGGUAGUGGUGGGGAUCCACUAUGAGCCAUUGAAUUCAAGUGGAAAAGAGCUCCGGUCUUUAAUAUGCAGAAAUUAAAACACUUUGGCUGACAGAGCUUUCAAUCUGAGAAACCUGCACUGUAGUAGCAGAAUAGCAUUAGUGCUCCUGAAUACACAGCUGGUAAUUUCCGAGCACGAAAUAUCAUGCAUUGAAAAUGAAAUUGCUCCAUUUAGGAGAUCGGUGUGGUGGGGAUGGAUGAAUUCAGUGCUGGAUGAAAAAUUAAUGGUUGCCUUCAGACAGGUGUUGACUAGCUGGUGGUGUUCCAAGAAAGGACGGUCCCAUCUGGUCAUGGGGAGAGCUGUGAUGGUGCGAAAAGAAGAGAGUGAUCACCAUGGACAAAGAGCAUCCCACGAACUCAUGUCAGAGAAGAGUUUUUGUCUUGGAGGUGGAGGGCUCAGUCGGUGGGAGAAGUAGGGCUACUUCUACGUGGGGUGUGGAUGGAGAAGUUUGAGGUAAAAUGAGGCUGGAUGGUUGGAGAAACACCAGCUAACAUUGGGUGUGGACUUGAUUACAGCAUAGAAUUGCCUCUGAGGGGAGGGGGUGAGGGGCUGCCUCACGUAGGGGAGAAAUAUAUGAUAGCAGUGGGUUGGAAAGCUGAGAUUUGGGCAAAUUUGAAUGAAAAAAAGAAGCACCUUUUAGCUGACAGAUGAUUAGGAUGCACUUGAAGGACAGCAGCGUGUCUUCCCCCACACCAAACCCUGUGUGCCACCUUGGCAGUCCACGGAGGCACCUUGAGCUGACCUAUCCGGUCCGUUCUGCUGGAGGAGGGGACAAGCAGGCCCCAGCUUCCAUCAGCUGCUCUGGGUUUGCAGUUAGGGUAGAUAAAUCCUUAUACUUACAAAGCAAGGCUGCCCGCGUGCCAAGUUGAGCACUGAAUCAGAAGAUGAGCUCCCUGGGGGGGUAAUCGGUAUCUUUCAUAAACUGCAAUUGGUCAGAGGAGAUGGGGAUUUUCCUGGCUCCAGCCCACGCACCCCUGCCCAUGCUGUGUGAGACGUGCAGGGCAAUUUACCUAUCGAUAGCUCACAGUGCUGGGCAAAUAUUUGUCUUAUCGUGGGUUUAGCAGUGAUAGCUAAAGGGCAGCGGCAAAACAAAGCCCAGGAAAGACCCAACUCUGAUCCAGUGCAGCUGGGAAAGCUGGAGGCUUUCCAGUCUGUGGGUGCUCAGCGUGUCCCUGCCCGGAAGGGGCUGCGGGGGGGAGCUGGGCUCAGCACUGCAGUGACAUUUGGAGAGAGCAGGAGGUCACAGAGCUGGAAGCAAACACAGGCAGUGACUGUCCUGCAGUGCACAGCCAGAGAGCUGCCUCUGCAGAGAGAAAACACAGGCAAGCACGCCUGAAACCUGUGCUUUGCUUCACUGCGCUUUCCUCCCAUAAAAAGUCUUUUAAAAAGUAUGAGUAAAUCUUUUUCCUAAAUCCUGUUCUCUUCCCUUCCCCUUCUCGUUCCCCUUCUCCCCCCUUCUCGUUCCCCUUCCCUUCCCUUCCCUUCCCUUCCCUUCCCUUCCCUUCCCUUCCCUUCCCUUCCCUUCCCUUCCCUUCCCUUCCCUUCCCUUCCCUUCCCUUCCCUUCCCUUCCCUUCCCUUCCCUUCCCUUCCCUUCCCUUCCCUUCCCUUCCCUUCCCUUCCCUUCCCUUCCCUUCCCUUCCCUUCCCUUCCCUUCCCUUCCCUUCCCUUCCCUUCCCUUCCCCUUCCCCUUCCCUAUGAAGAAACGGAAGGAGAACCCAUGGAGACAAUGUGAGACAUCCCCAGAAUGAAUCCAGAUGUGCUGCUCUGUCUGUAACCCAGUGCUGUAAGGAGGACUGAGAUCUGCUGCACUGCAAGCCUGGAUAAAGAUACCCACCAUGGAUCUUCUCCCUGGACUCCUGACCCCAACUGCUCACCUUCCUCCUUCUGCCCUGGGCUAACUUCUCCUCGACUUCUGCUUUGGUUGAAAAGAGGCUGGGGUAAAAAAAGGGGGAAGGGGAGCCUGAAGGUGCAUACUGCUCUGCACCGGAUGCUGUGCAAGCAUACAAAUAACCACGGUCCCUGCGCCAGCAGAUCCAGCAGCUCAGCACAGAUCCAGCCCCAGGGGCUCAUCCUGGGCAGGGAGUGCAACCCUCGAGCUCCAACACCAUCCUGAGCUGACAGCUGCCCUCCUCCCCCCACCCCCAGCCACCUCCAAGCCGUUCACGGAGCGAUUCUCCAAAUGAUUUUUCUGGAAAACCAAUUAAAGGAGGAGUUACAUCACACAGCAGCCAGCCCAACCGGCGCUGCGUUGCGCUGACGAACCCUGCCUGUAUUUUGGGCUCUGCACCACAUUGCUCACAGCUGCUGCUGCUGCUGCCGUGCUGGAAUUUGCAGCAUGCUAUCUAAAUAUACUGCAACAAAAAACUGAUCAAAGCAGCUAAAUAUUAUUGUCUGCGCUCGGAUGGGAGGCGCAGAGCGUGGUCUCCCAGAAAACCUCCAAGUGCUUCGUUUUUUCCCCUGUGCAAAACCACAGACAAACAAAAUCGGGAGGGGGUAGGGUGUGGAAAGAAGCAGAGAAGGAGACUUUCAGUGGGUGUGAAGGGAGCACAGCCCAGGGCUUGGAAGUCAGGAAAUUCCAGUCCCUACAGCCUGUGGCAGGGGACAGGACGUGCUGCCUUAUGGGCUUGUGCUCCCCUCUGGAUGCUGCCACAUACUACCUUCAUACCUUUAGGUCAUCACAAAAUGAUGGAAUCUUAGAAUCGUUUGGGUUGGAAGGGAUCUGAGAAAUCAUUGAGCUCCAACCCCCUGCUGUGGGCUGGUUGCCACCCACCAGGUCUGGCUGCCCAGGGCCCCAUCCAUCCUGGCCUUGAGUACCUCCAGGGAUGGGGCAUCGACAGUUUCUCUGGGCAGCCUGUCAUCACCCACCAUCACCCAACAAGCGUGCCCACCCCUCAGUAUCCAGGCCAAGCUUAUUUAGGAAGCACAGAGCCUCCCAGACCCUUCCCCUGUGUAGUUGGCAAGAAAUAAAACAAGCCAGGUUGAGCUCAGUGUAUGGCAGGGGCAAGGCUUGGCACCAGGAUGGGGGUCUUAGACGGUGCCCAUGGACUAGGUUGGCCCCCGCUAUCACUCAGGCAGAAUUCUCAGCCCUCAGUUCCCUCCCAUAAAUCUUCCAGGUGAGCUCAUCAGCACUGCCAUGCAGAACAAGCACUGCUGCAAAUGAGUAGUCAUGAAUAAUCACUCUGGAUGCUUUGAAAAGCUUCUUAUCCUUUGCAUAAGAGACUCAAAGAAAAGCUGGCAUUAAGCCGAGGACUGCUGCUUGGUUUGGUCUCCAACCAUGAGAUGCUCAGUGGCAUCUCACCCUGGUGACAGCCAGGUCUCCUGCCAUGGGGGCAACAGGGGCAAAGGAAGAUGAUGCAGUAGCUUCAGCACCAGCUCCUGACCACAAGUCCCCACAUGCAUUCGACUGUCCGUGGGAUGCCAGGUGAGCUGCCUGAUUUUACAUCCAUUACAAGGUGAUGAGCUUCUCCAGUAUCAAUGAGAAGAAUCUGUGCAUGGCUGAAACUCAGGAAUACAAAUAACUUUCUCAUGAAGAAAACCCUAAACCCCAUUCUCUACUGGUGCACGUAACAAGGCUGUGAGCAGCUUCUCUUUGCCUGUGUCAAGUUGUGUACACCAUGCCUACUAUUAAUACAGAUGGUUUCUUCUCCUCUUUUCCUCAUUUCUCCUUUUCACAACCCAACCAGGAAUUAAAG
rnacentral:lncRNA from 1 species